rnacentral:tRNA from 1 species
GCACCCGUAGCUCAGCUGGAUAGAGCGCAUCCUUGCGGAGGAUGAGGUCGUAGGUUCAAAUCCUAUCGGGUGUA